UACGGGGGGGGGCAAGCGUUUGUUCGGAAUUACUGGGCGUAAAGGGCUCGUAGGUGGCCAACUAAGUCAGACGUGAAAUCCCUCGGCUUAACCGGGGAACUGCGUCUGAUACUGGAUGGCUUGAGGUUGGGAGAGGGAUGCGGAAUUCCAGGUGUAGCGGUGAAAUGCGUAGAUAUCUGGAGGAACACCGGUGGCGAAGGCGGCAUCCUGGACCAACACUGACGCUGAGGAGCGAAAGCCAGGGGAGCAAACGGG
rnacentral:rRNA from 1 species